rnacentral:rRNA from 1 species
UACGUAGGGGGCAAGCGUUGUCCGGAUUUAUUGGGCGUAAAGAGCGUGUAGGCGGCCAUUCAGGUCAGCUGUGAAAACUCGAGGCUCAACCUCGAGACGUCGGUUGAAACCGUUUGGCUAGAGUCCGGAAGAGGAGAGUGGAAUUCCCGGUGUAGCGGUGAAAUGCGCAGAUAUCGGGAAGAACACCCGUGGCGAAGGCGGCUCUCUGGGACGGUACUGACGCUGAGGCGCGAAAGCGUGGGGAGCAAACAGG